rnacentral:rRNA from 1 species
CCUACGGGGGGCAGCAGUGAGGAAUAUUGGUCAAUGGGCUUACGCCUGAACCAGCCAAGUCGCGUGAGGGAAGACUGCCCUAUGGGUUGUAAACCUCUUUUGUCAGGGAGCAACGCCGGCUACGUGUAGCCGGACUGAGAGUACCUGAAGAAAAAGCAUCGGCUAACUCCGUGCCAGCAGCCGCGGUAAUACGGAGGAUGCGAGCGUUAUCCGGAUUUAUUGGGUUUAAAGGGUGCGUAGGCGGAAUGCCAAGUCAGCGGUAAAAUGGCGGGGCUCAACCUCGCUCCGCCGUUGAAACUGGCGGUCUUGAGUGGGCGAGAAGUAUGCGGAAUGCGUGGUGUAGCGGUGAAAUGCAUAGAUAUCGCGCAGAACUCCGAUUGCGAAGGCAGCAUACCGGCGCCCAACUGACGCUGAGGCACGAAAGCGUGGGUAUCGAACAGGAUUAGAUACCCCUGUAGUC